UUUUUUUUUUUUUUUUUUGUCAUUUCUUGGGCUGCUCUCAUGGCAUAUGGAGGUUCCCAGGCUAGGGGUCAAAUCGGAGCUACAGCUGCCGGCCUACGCCACAGCCACAGCAAUGCCAGAUCCGAGCCUUGUCUGCUCCUUACACCACAGCUCAUGGCAACAGAGGCCAGGGAUUGAACGCACAUCCUAAUGGAUCCUAGUUGGAUUCAUUUCUGCUGUGCCACGAUGGGAACUCCCCUUCCUUUGUAUUUUAAAGAACAGUGUCUAAAGUAGGUCCCAUCCUUUUGUUAUUCUCAACCACAGUUCCAACGGUUGAGUGUCUCCUGGGAUAUGCAUGCUCUGUUCCAUUUCUUUCUUUUUUUAAACAGACCCAGAGUCCCAGAAGAAGUUAGAUGUUGUGCUUACAAACUGCAUACACAUGGGCAUCAUGGAAGUGCAAAACUCCAAUAAAGAAAUAAGCACAUGGUUUCUUAGUUCAUUUUUUAUGUUAAUGAUGAAAGUGCAGGUAAGAAAAUAAGAACUAGCCUUAAGGACAUAUAAGUGAUGGAAAGAGAAGGAAAAUUCUAGGUGGAGCCCAGAGAAGUUAUCAUUCUCUUCCUAUCAACAUUGGGUGGAUGUGCAGGCCCCUUGCUUUAUAGCAGCAGAACAAAAUAAAAUGACUGAUGAUCAAAGAAACUCACAGAUGCCUACAGAAUUAAAUUAUCAACCCACUUUGACAUUUUGCAAGUAUAAAUAGAAACAGAAAUAACUAGAGGUGUAGAAAUAGUUGAAGAAGCCCCUCAACAUUAAAUUCUAAACUUCAAAUUUGAAACACCUAGAGAUUGGGGUUUCUCUGUAAUCUAUAAAUCAGCCUUGAUUCAAAGAAAUAGCCAGGCUGGCAUGGGGGAGCAACUUUAGAUCUGGCCAGCACAGGACCUGGGGAGGCUCAGUAGAGACCCACUAUCUGUUAAUAAGGAAGAAGACCCAAAACAGAGCCAGGACAAAUAAUUCUGUCAUUUUAAUGUCAAAAGUGUCCAACCAUUCUUUAUUGUGAAAAGGAUACAUAAUUAAGCUGUAUCUUUAUAUUAUUAUUUUUUUUUUACUAUUUGGCAUAUUAUUCAUUCCCAGUGAUGUUUCAUUUCUCCUCAAAUGAUUCUUUUGCAACCUUUAGAAAGCCCUGCAAUUUCCUUUUCAUUUGGCCGAACGUGGCAGACACAGGAGGGAGAGCUUCUAAAUCCUGUUGCUCAGAAUAUGGCUNUUUUUUUUUUUUUGUCUUUUCAGGGUCGCACCCACUGCAAAUGGAGGUUCCCAGGCUAGGGGUCUAAUCGAAGCUACAGCUGCCAGCCUACACCAGAGCCACAGCAACGCCAGAUCUGAGCCACGUCUGUGACCUAUAGCACAGCUCAUGGCAAUGCCUGAUCCUUAACCCACUGAGUAAGGCCAGGAAUCGAACUCAAAACCUCGUGGUUCCUCGUGGUUUCUGCUGCGCCACAACGGGAACUCCCAGAAUAUGUUUAAAAAAAAAAAAAAAAGCAGGACCCCAGACAGGUGUGUAACUGUUUGAAUGGGCUAUCUCUUAUACAACUAGGAAUAAGACCUACUUGGAAGAAGUUUUGCUCUAGAAACUGUUGAUGCUCUUGACUUAUUGAGGGGAGUUCCAUAAAAUGGCCAUUACCAACUGUAUAAGACAAAACUCGUGUUAGCUCAAAGGUUAGUCCCUGUUUUAAAAUCCCAAAAAAGAUAAACCCUAUUAUGGGCCAUUUCCACUUUCCCCACUGCUUCCCUGACAAGAGGUAAUGUGGGUCUGAGGAGGAAACUGAAGAUUCAUGGCCCAAAUAGAGCAGAAGUCUUGUCUUGUGUAACUGCCCAAAUGCUAAUACAAACUCAUUGUUGCUCAAUUUGUUCUUUAAAAGCUGUGCUUUAUUCUAUUAACUUUGAUUUGCCCUCUUAGCUUCUGUCAUUUUUCCAUACUGGACUGUCCUGGCAAUCCUCCUCACCUUUCUGUCUGGGUUUCAGUCUCUGACAGGGGCUCUGUGCCUAGGUCUCCCUGCCAGGAUCCAUCUGGCCCAUCGGUAACUAACAGUCAUCUUAGCCUUGUCCAGUGGUGAUAGCUUCACCCGUAGAUUUAACUGAGACAAAACUGAACAACUUACCAUAAAUAUCGGAGUCAAGAAAAAAUUAUUAGGAGACUAGGCGUACAUAAGUUUAGAUAAAAACAGAGAAGGCAGGACGACAGUGUGGUCCAAGUAAUUUUCUCUGUGCAAAGAUGCCUUCUAUUUAGUAUAACUAAACACAUUACUUCUGGGGAAAAAAAAAAACAACAACAAAAAUUCACACUCCAAAAAAGGGAGAAAAACUAGUAUUGAGAGCAAUUAUGAGUAUGACUUAAAAUGUCACUUUUUAUCUGUUGUACAGGAGAGUAAAUAUCAUGAAAACUUAACCAUGAUAAGGAAAAAAAAAACACUUAACCAUGAUGAAAUAUUUGUCAAACAGUAUUUGUUCCUAUAUUAAGAAAUUAAUACCCACAUGCACAACUUUGAGUUGAUAGAAACUAAAAACUUAAGGUAAUAGAAUUAAGGAUUUCAUUUUCCUUUUUAGAGUUUUAUAUAUUUUUCAAAUUUUUUGGAAAGGCGUUUUGGAAAUAGAAAAAAAAAAAA
rnacentral:lncRNA from 1 species